CACGUAGGGUGCGAGCGUUGUCCGGAUUUAUUGGGCGUAAAGGGCCCGUAGGCGGUUUGGUAAGUCGGGUGUCAAAACUCCAGGCUCAACCUGGAGCGGCCAUCCGAUACUGCCAUGACUUGAGUCUGGUAGGGGAGUGCGGAAUUCCUGGUGUAGCGGUGAAAUGCGCAGAUAUUAGGAGGAACACCGGUGGCGAAGGCGGCACUCUGGGCCAGUACUGACGCUGAUGGGCGAAAGCGUGGGGAGCAAACAGG
rnacentral:rRNA from 1 species